UACCAGCACCCCGAGUGUUCGGGACGAUUAUUGGGCCUAAAGCAUCCGUAGCCGGUUCUACAAGUCUUCCGUUAAAUCCACCUGCUUAACAGAUGGGCUGCGGAGGAUACUAUAGAGCUAGGAGGCGGGAGAGGCAAGCGGUACUUAGUGGGUAGGGGUAAAAUCCGUUGAUCCAUUGAAGACCACCAGUGGCGAAGGCGGCUUGCCAGAACGCACUCGACGGUGAGGGAUGAAAGCUGGGGGAGCAAACCGG
rnacentral:rRNA from 1 species